rnacentral:tRNA from 1 species
GGGCCAUUAGCUCAGCUGGCAGAGCACCUGACUCUUAAUCAGGGUGUCCCGGGUUCGAAACCUGGAUGGCCCACCA